UACGAAGGGGGCUAGCGUUGCUCGGAAUCACUGGGCGUAAAGCGCACGUAGGCGGCUUUCUAAGUCAGGGGUGAAAUCCUGGAGCUCAACUCCAGAACUGCCUUUGAUACUGGAGAGCUUGAGUCCGGAAGAGGUGAGUGGAACUCCGAGUGUAGAGGUGAAAUUCGUAGAUAUUCGGAAGAACACCAGUGGCGAAGGCGGCUCACUGGCCCGGUACUGACGCUGAGGCACGAAAGCGUGGGGAGCAAACAGG
rnacentral:rRNA from 1 species